ACUCCUACGGGAGGCAGCAGUGGGGAAUAUUGCACAAUGGGCGCAAGCCUGAUGCAGCCAUGCCGCGUGUAUGAAGAAGGCCUUCGGGUUGUAAAGUACUUUCAGCAGUGAGGAAGGUGGGUAUGUUAAUAGCAUAUUCAUUUGACGUUAGCUGCAGAAGAAGCACCGGCUAACUCUGUGCCAGCAGCCGCGGUAAUACAGAGGGUGCAAGCGUUAAUCGGAAUGAUUGGGCGUAAAGGGUGCGUAGGUUGUUAUUUAUGUCUCGUGUGAAAGUCAAUGGCUCAACCAUUGAAAGCCAUGAGAAACUGGAUAACUAGAGUACUGUAGAGGGUAGUGGAAUUUCUGGUGUAGCGGUGAAAUGCGUAGAUAUCAGAAGGAACAUCAGUGGCGAAGGCGACUACCUGGACAGAUACUGACACUGAGGCACGAAAGCGUGGGUAGCGAACAGGAUUAGAUACCCUGGUAGGAUAGCGU
rnacentral:rRNA from 1 species